UGGGGCUGUCGGUGCACGGCUC
rnacentral:miRNA from 1 species